UAUGAGCCAGUAGUCAAUUUUGACAUAAUCAGUACCACUUAAGGGGAGUAAAUGACACUUACAAUCCAGCCUCAGUAAAUUAAGUAAAAAUGCUACAGU